rnacentral:rRNA from 1 species
UGGGGAAUAUUGCACAAUGGGCGCAAGCCUGAUGCAGCCAUGCCGCGUGUGUGAAGAAGGCCUUCGGGUUGUAAAGCACUUUCAGCGAGGAGGAAGGUGGUGAACUUAAUACGUUCAUCAAUUGACGUUACUCGCAGAAGAAGCACCGGCUAACUCCGUGCCAGCAGCCGCGGUAAUACGGAGGGUGCAAGCGUUAAUCGGAAUUACUGGGCGUAAAGCGCACGCAGGCGGUUUGUUAAGUCAGAUGUGAAAUCCCCGGGCUCAACCUGGGAACUGCAUUUGAAACUGGCAAGCUAGAGUCUCGUAGAGGGGGGUAGAAUUCCAGGUGUAGCGGUGAAAUGCGUAGAGAUCUGGAGGAAUACCGGUGGCGAAGGCGGCCCCCUGGACGAAGACUGACGCUCAGGUGCGAAAGCGUGGGGCAGCAAACAGGAUUAGAUACCCUGGUAGUCC